rnacentral:rRNA from 1 species
GAUGAACGCUGGCGGCGUGCCUAACACAUGCAAGUCGAACGGAGAUUCCGGACGGAAGUUUUCGGAUGGAAGACUGUAAUUCUUAGUGGCGGACGGGUGAGUAACGCGUGGGCAACCUGCCCUAUACAGGGGGAUAGCAGCUGGAAACGGCUGGUAAGACCGCAUAAGUCGGCGAGACCGCAUGGUUUUGCCGGGAAAUGAGCAAUCAGGUAUAGGAUGGGCCCGCGUCCGAUUAGCCAGUUGGCAGGGUAAAAGCCUACCAAAGCAACGAUCGGUAGCCGGACUGAGAGGGCGGACGGCCACAUUGGGACUGAGACACGGCCCAAACUCCUACGGGAGGCAGCAGUGGGGGAUAUUGCACAAUGGAGGAAACUCUGAUGCAGCGACGCCGCGUGAGUGAAGAAGUAUUUCGGUAUGUAAAGCUCUAUCAGCAGGGAAGAUGAUGACGGUACCUGACUAAGAAGCCCCGGCUAACUACGUG